rnacentral:rRNA from 1 species
CCUACGGGAGGCAGCAGUAGGGAAUCUUCCACAAUGGGCGAAAGCCUGAUGGAGCAACGCCGCGUGGGUGAAGAAGGUCUUCGGAUCGUAAAACCCUGUUGUUAGAGAAGAAAGUGCGUGAGAGUAACUGUUCACGUUUCGACGGUAUCUAACCAGAAAGCCACGGCUAACUACGUGCCAGCAGCCGCGGUAAUACGGAGGUGGCAAGCGUUAUCCGGAGUUAUUGGGCGGAAAGGGAACGCAGGCGGUCUUUUAAGUCUGAUGUGAAAGCCUUCGGCUUAACCGGAGUUGUGCAUUGGAAACUGGGAGACUUGAGUGCAGAAGAGGAGAUUGGAACUCCAUGUGUAGCGGUGAAAUGCGUAGAUAUAUGGAAGAACACCAGUGGCGAAAGGCGACUUUCUGGACAGUAACUGACGUUGAGGCACGAAAGUGUGGGGAGCAAACAGGAUUAGAUACCCCAGUAGUC